ACUCCCUUGACGGUACUUAAUGAAUAAGCCCCGGCUAAUUAUGUGCCAGCAGCCGCGGUAAUACAUAAGGGGCGAGCGUUAUCCGGAAUUAUUGGGCGUAAAGGGUGCGUAGGCGGUUUAAUAAGUCUAUAGUUUAAUUUCAGUGCUUAACGCUGUUGUGCUAUAGAAACUGCUUUACUAGAGUGAGUUAGAGGCAAGCGGAAUUCCAUGUGUAGCGGUAAAAUGCGUAAAUAUAUGGAGGAACACCAGAGGCGUAGGCGGCUUGCUGGGACUUUACUGACGCUGAGGCACGAAAGCGUGGGGAGCAAACAGGAUUAGAUACCCUGGUAGUCCACACCGUAAACGAUGAGUACUAAGUGUCGGGUAAAACCGGUACUGAAGUUAACACAUUAAGUACUCCGCCUGAGUAGUACGUACGCAAGUAUGAAACUUAAAGGAAUAGACGGGACUCCGCACAAGCGGUGGAUCAUGUUGUUUAAUUCGAAGAUACACGAAAAACCUUACCAGGUCUUGACAUUUUCUUGCGAAGUUAUAGAAAUAUAAUGGAGGUUAUCAGGAAAACAGGUGGUGCAUGGUUGUCGUCAGCUCGUGUCGUGAGAUGUUAGGUUAAGUCCUAAAACGAGCGCAACCCUUGUCGUUAAUUGCCAGCAUGUAAUGAUGGGGACUUUAACGAGACUGCCAAUGAAAAAUUGGAGGAAGGUGGGGAUUACGUCAAAUCAUCAUGCCCCUUAUGAUCUGGGCUACAAACGUGAUACAAUGGUUGAUACAAAGAGUAGCUGAAACGCGAGUUCUUAGCCAAUCUCACAAAAUCAAUC
rnacentral:rRNA from 1 species